GCUGUAAACUGGGUGAAUGUGGGAUCUACAACUGGAGGUACGCUGUAGACUGGGUGAAUGUGGGAUCUACAACUGGAGGUACGCUGUAGACUGGGUGAAUGUGGGAUCUACAACUGGAGGUACGCUGUAGACUGGGUGAAUGUGGGAUCUACAACUGGAGGUACGCUGUAGACUGGGUGAAUGUGGGAUCUACAACUGGAGGUACGCUGUAGACUGGGUGAAUGUGGGAUCUACAACUGGAGGUACGCUGUAGACUGGGUGAAUGUGGGAUCUACAACUGGAGGUACGCUGUAGACUGGGUGA